GUAACUUUUGGAAGCCCACUUUUUUUAAAAUCAAUGAGUUUAUUCUCAACGCACUUAUUUUUUAAAUCAAUUUAUAUCAGGCCUGCAGAAGUAUAGAUUUGCGUACUUCUCCAUCUGCUGAUUCAGCCAGGUUAUUCUCUGCCCACUUGCUCUAUUUUCUUGCUGGAUUUGAUUAAAAAAAUGGACAACAAUUAAUGAUAAUAAAGUGGAUGGGAGGCGAAUUCAACAUCCGAAAGAUUCAGCCAGGUUAUUCUUUGCCCACUCGCUCUUUUUUCUUGCUGGAAUUGAUCGAAAAGAUGGACAACAAUUAAUGAUAAUAAAGUGGAUGGGAGGAGAAUUCGACAUCUGAAAGGAUAUUUGCUUAAUGAUCAAGGAUUUAGCUAUUCUGUAUGGAAUUCAUGGGACUAAAAGACAAAGCUGCAGCAUUCAAAAUUCCAGUCACUCAUAAUUUCAAGUCAUUUUUGUGCUGUGACUGUAACUCUCACGCCUUAGCAGUUCGUAAACUCAUGGAGCAUGUGAAAAACAUUAAAAUCCAUAAUCAUUUUUUUGUAAAUUCUACUCUUGUAACUUUGAACUCCAAUUCAAUAUUAUAUCAAUUAUUGACAAUUGAUGAAGA